rnacentral:tRNA from 1 species
CAGAGCGUAGCUAAAUAGCAAAGCAUUUCCCUUACACCGAAAAGACAUCCAUGCAAAUUGGAUCGCCCUGA